rnacentral:rRNA from 1 species
UUAAGCGACUAAGCGUACACGGUGGAUGCCCUGGCAGUCAGAGGCGAUGAAGGACGUGCUAAUCUGCGAUAAGCGUCGGUAAGGUGAUAUGAACCGUUAUAACCGGCGAUUUCCGAAUGGGGAAACCCAGUGUGAUUCGUCACACUAUCAUUAACUGAAUCCAUAGGUUAAUGAGGCGAACCGGGGGAACUGAAACAUCUAAGUACCCCGAGGAAAAGAAAUCAACCGAGAUUCCCCAGUAGCGGCGAGCGAACGGGGAGCAGCCCAGAGCCUGAAUCAGUGUGUGUGUUAGUGGAAGCGUCUGGAAAGGCGUGCGAUACAGGGUGACAGCCCCGUACACAAAAAUGCACAUAUUGUGAGCUCGAUGAGUAGGGCGGGACACGUGGUAUCCUGUCUGAAUAUGGGGGGACCAUCCUCCAAGGCUAAAUACUCCUGACUGACCGAUAGUGAACCAGUACCGUGAGGGAAAGGCGAAAAGAACCCCGGCGAGGGGAGUGAAAAAGAACCUGAAACCGUGUACGUACAAGCAGUGGGAGCACGCUUAGGCGUGUGACUGCGUACCUUUUGUAUAAUGGGUCAGCGACUUAUAUUCUGUAGCAAGGUUAACCGAAUAGGGGAGCCGAAGGGAAACCGAGUCUUAACUGGGCGUUAAGUUGCAGGGUAUAGACCCGAAACCCGGUGAUCUAGCCAUGGGCAGGUUGAAGGUUGGGUAACACUAACUGGAGGACCGAACCGACUAAUGUUGAAAAAUUAGCGGAUGACUUGUGGCUGGGGGUGAAAGGCCAAUCAAACCGGGAGAUAGCUGGUUCUCCCGAAAGCUAUUUAGGUAGCGCCUCGUGAAUUCAUCUCCGGGGGUAGAGCACUGUUUCGGCAAGGGGUCAUCCCGACUUACCAACCCGAUGCAAACUGCGAAUACCGGAGAAUGUUAUCACGGGAGACACACGGCGGGUGCUAACGUCCGUCGUGAAGAGGGAAACAACCCAGACCGCCAGCUAAGGUCCCAAAGUCAUGGUUAAGUGGGAAACGAUGUGGGAAGGCCCAGACAGCCAGGAUGUUGGCUUAGAAGCAGCCAUCAUUUAAAGAAAGCGUAAUAGCUCACUGGUCGAGUCGGCCUGCGCGGAAGAUGUAACGGGGCUAAACCAUGCACCGAAGCUGCGGCAGCGACACUAUGUGUUGUUGGGUAGGGGAGCGUUCUGUAAGCCUGUGAAGGUGUACUGUGAGGUAUGCUGGAGGUAUCAGAAGUGCGAAUGCUGACAUAAGUAACGAUAAAGCGGGUGAAAAGCCCGCUCGCCGGAAGACCAAGGGUUCCUGUCCAACGUUAAUCGGGGCAGGGUGAGUCGACUCCUAAGGCGAGGCCGAAAGGCGUAGUCGAUGGGAAACAGGUUAAUAUUCCUGUACUUGGUGUUACUGCGAAGGGGGACGGAGAAGGCUAUGUUGGCCGGGCGACGGUUGUCCCGGUUUAAGCGUGUAGGCUGGUUUUCCAGGCAAAUCCGGAAAACUAAGGCUGAGGCGUGAUGACGAGGCACUACGGUGCUGAAGCAACAAAUGCCCUGCUUCCAGGAAAAGCCUCUAAGCAUCAGGUAACAUCAAAUCGUACCCCAAACCGACACAGGUGGUCAGGUAGAGAAUACCAAGGCGCUUGAGAGAACUCGGGUGAAGGAACUAGGCAAAAUGGUGCCGUAACUUCGGGAGAAGGCACGCUGAUAUGUAGGUGAAGUCCCUCGCGGAUGGAGCUGAAAUCAGUCGAAGAUACCAGCUGGCUGCAACUGUUUAUUAAAAACACAGCACUGUGCAAACACGAAAGUGGACGUAUACGGUGUGACGCCUGCCCGGUGCCGGAAGGUUAAUUGAUGGGGUCAGCGCAAGCGAAGCUCUUGAUCGAAGCCCCGGUAAACGGCGGCCGUAACUAUAACGGUCCUAAGGUAGCGAAAUUCCUUGUCGGGUAAGUUCCGACCUGCACGAAUGGCGUAAUGAUGGCCAGGCUGUCUCCACCCGAGACUCAGUGAAAUUGAACUCGCUGUGAAGAUGCAGUGUACCCGCGGCAAGACGGAAAGACCCCGUGAACCUUUACUAUAGCUUGACACUGAACAUUGAGCCUUGAUGUGUAGGAUAGGUGGGAGGCUUUGAAGUGUGGACGCCAGUCUGCAUGGAGCCGACCUUGAAAUACCACCCUUUAAUGUUUGAUGUUCUAACGUUGACCCGUAAUCCGGGUUGCGGACAGUGUCUGGUGGGUAGUUUGACUGGGGCGGUCUCCUCCUAAAGAGUAACGGAGGAGCACGAAGGUUGGCUAAUCCUGGUCGGACAUCAGGAGGUUAGUGCAAUGGCAUAAGCCAGCUUGACUGCGAGCGUGACGGCGCGAGCAGGUGCGAAAGCAGGUCAUAGUGAUCCGGUGGUUCUGAAUGGAAGGGCCAUCGCUCAACGGAUAAAAGGUACUCCGGGGAUAACAGGCUGAUACCGCCCAAGAGUUCAUAUCGACGGCGGUGUUUGGCACCUCGAUGUCGGCUCAUCACAUCCUGGGGCUGAAGUAGGUCCCAAGGGUAUGGCUGUUCGCCAUUUAAAGUGGUACGCGAGCUGGGUUUAGAACGUCGUGAGACAGUUCGGUCCCUAUCUGCCGUGGGCGCUGGAGAACUGAGGGGGCUGCUCCUAGUACGAGAGGACCGGAGUGGACGCAUCACUGGUGUUCGGGUUGUCAUGCCAAUGGCACUGCCGGUAGCUAAAUGCGGAAGAGAUAAGUGCUGAAAGCAUCUAAGCACGAAACUUGCCCGAGAUGAGUUCUCCCUGACUCCUUGAGAGUCCUGAAGGAACGUUGAAGACGACGACGUUGAUAGGCCGGGUGUGUAAGCGCAGCGAUGCGUUGAGCUAACCGGUACUAAUGAACCGUGAGGCUUAACCUU